UACGUAGGAGACGAGCGUUGUCCGGAAUUACUGGGCGUAAAGCGUGCGCAGGCGGUUUGUUAAGUCCGUUGUGAAAGCCCCGAGCUCAACUUGGGAAUUGCAGUGGAUACUGGCAAGCUGGAGUACGGUAGAGGAAGGUGGAAUUCCCGGUGUAGCGGUGAAAUGCGCAGAUAUCGGGAAGAACACCCGUGGCGAAGGCGGCACUCUGGGACGGUACUGACGCUGAGACGCGAAAGCGUGGGGAGCGAACAGG
rnacentral:rRNA from 1 species